rnacentral:lncRNA from 1 species
GAAUGGCGUCGGGGUUGGAGGGUUGGAAGGUCGGGAAGUGAAGGACUCGCAGGCAUAUUUAACAACGCAAAGUUGCUAGGAGUUGGUACCAGCGUUUGGGAGGUAGAGGUGGCGCUCAUGCAUAUUUGAGACAACAUCUGGAUGGUUGGGGAGAACGGUGAUGCCACACUCAAUCAGAAACUAUGCUACUGCUGAAGAGGUAUAUUGAGCCCUGCCUGGUUAACCUCCAGUGAGGUUAUUAGAGAAUUGGGAGAGGCUCAAAUCAGCAUCCUGCACCUAGUUAUCAAACCAUUGUGAAGUCUUGAUUCCUGGAUGGCCAGAAAACUUGUCAUUGGUCAAGAGCAACAUUAAGAUCUGCCUGUUACUCAUACUGAUGCUUCCUGCCCAGCAAGUUCAUCAGAGGGCGAGGAUGAAUUACGGUUGCCAUGAAUGUCCUUGUGAGGCAGUUGGGAAGCCUUGGCUGGAUUGUGAAGGAUAUUUGAAAAGUAUUUUAGAGUCCACCAGAUCAUCCAUGUGAGUGACCAUGCAGCAAAAGAAGGAGGGUCCUCUCAGUGAUUAAGGUAACAUAGUGAUUAAGGAUUAUGAAGUAUUAAUUCUUCCACUGAUAUCUCAAAAGGUGAUCUGGACAAAGGAACAGGUAUCUCAGCUAUUAUUGUUAGAUCUUGGGACACCCAGCACGUGACAAAAACAACAGCAGACCCUGGUGCCUGGGAGGACUUCAUGGAUCCAGCAGCAACCUGGAGUGGUGCUCCUCUGAAGAAAUCCUACUCGGAUGGAUAUAAUACAACCUGCUAAGUGUCCUAGCACUUAGCAGGUUGUAUUAUCAUUGUCCGUGUCUAUGGCUCUCGUCUACCAGACUUUAAAUUCCUUAAGGGCAAGGACAGUGCCUUACUCAUCUUUGUAUUCACAGUGCCUAAUCCGGUGCACAUUGUAGGCCUCAUUAAAUGUUUGUUGAAUGAAAAAAUGAAUCAUCAACAGACAUUAAUUGGGCGCCUGCUCUGUGAUCUCCAUGGGCUCAGCUUGUCCCCGCCAGUUGCCAACAACGUCCAAGCUCUCUUCAGAAUGCUUACUCCUGAAGCUUAUUCCUGUCUUCUAAUUCUUUUGUUGAGGACUUUUCUGUGUAGUGCAAUGAUAGCAAAUACACUUCAUCUCAAGUACCAUCUCCAAUUGAUUGAUAAUGCCUGCCCUGAUUAUGUUUUAUAACAAGAUUCUGAAACCAGGUCUUAUCUCAGUGUGAAAGACAUUUAUAACUAUUUAGUGAUGUCUGCUGAGGGUCGGAGAAGGGGGAGUAGCAGCACAAGUGCCUCAUAUGUCAUAUUUGCUACUCUGUUUUCUAUGAAAUACUUCAUUUCUAUGCCUGCAUUUUGGUCUUAGCUACUUGCUGAUGUUGCAUGGCUGUUGCUGCUACUGUAAUUGCUGCUAAUUGCUCCCUGGGUUGGACCAGAGUGCUCAUUGUCUGAACAGAAACCUCAUCCUCACAGUCUGAGGUUUGCUCCUGUGGCUGAUAUUUAAAGUUUUCCCCUUUCAACUUUACUCCAGCUAUCCCCUUACCUGCACUGACAGGUAAUCCUCCACCGUCCUGUUCACCUCUCACCAGGUUCAUAUUUUCUUUAUCUUAUUUAUUGUACUUAAUCAUUAUUUUGUGAGAAGCUUUUCUGAUUGUAGAUGUGACAACCAGAAUACAAGUUAAAACCACUUAUCCAGCGCCUUACAGUGAAUCAUUUAACAUGAGAAAAAAAUUGAGUGUGUUUGCAGACCAUGGGGCAGAAGGAAUUGAGAAGGGAGUCAUUGUAGAUGUGAGAAAGAGAGAGAUGAUAAUAGAUGGAAGAUGAUCUUGAAAGAUGAUGCAGGUGAAGCUGGAAGGGUGAAAUUUAUGGCUCUAGAACACAUGCAGGUGGAGGGUUAGCCUUAGGUAAGUGGAACUACCUCUUUGCUGGAGCACAGAGAUAGGGAUAGGAGUAAGGAAGAGGACUUGGCAAGGGUGGUGAAGAUUUGUAAUUGUAGAGGUGGAUGAUGGGGAGGAAGCUGACCAGGAACAGGAAUAUGAAGACAAAAGCUGCUGGAACAGAAAUACUAGAGGGCUAAAUAUGAACCAGAGUCCCUAAGGAAUAUUCAGGCCAAAACGCUGGAGUGAGACCAUUAACAGGAGAGCUUAUGGUAUAUCAAAGUAAGAAAUGAGUUUGAAACUGGGUUAGAAGCUCAGGAAAAUAUGAAGUGGUUUUGGGGCAUUGUCACUAGCAGUAUUUGGUUGCCUUGAUUGAUUGAGGGGUGGACAGCUAGCAAGAGACGAGUUACACAGAAAUGGAUUUAAGAAUCCAAACUAAGGCCGGGCGCGGUGGCCCACACCUGUAAUCACAGCACUUUGGAAGGCCAAGGUGGGCAGGUCACCUGAGGUCAGGAGUUCGAGACCAGCCUGACCAACAUGGUGAAACCCUGUCUCUACUAAAAAUGCAAAAAUUAGCCAGGUGUGGUGGCACAUGCCUGUAAUCCCAGCUACUCAGGAGGCUGAGGCAGGAGAAUCACUUGAACCCAGGAGGCGGAGGUUGCAGUGAGCCGAGAUCCCACCCACUGUACUCCAGCCUGGGUAACAGAGUGAGACUUCAUUUAAAAAAAAAAAUCCAACCUGGACAUGGAAGGAAGUAAGGUCAGGAGUGGCCUCAGUCUGGGCCAAAAAGAGGCUUUAAUGUGAACAAGGUGAGUGCUGAGUAAUUGGAAAACUGGAGUGAUAGGACCUGUAAUCAGAGUAGACUUUGGAGUGUUAGAUUUCAAAACUGGAGUGGUUAAGAUACCUGUGAAGCUAGGAUGUCAGAUGAUCAUUUACAUGACUAUUAUAGUAACCCAGGAUUAUAGUAGAAGCUAGGCUUAGAAUGAACACUGGGCCAGGUACAAAAGGCUUCAGUGACUGUGAGGAAUGACUUGGAGGUUGGCACAUGUUAACUGCAAAUACUAGAGAAGAAAGGCUGUAGUGGGAUAGUAGAUGAGCCUUAGAAGAGUGGGGGGAUCCAGGUGAUUCCUUCUUUUAUUGAGUAUUUGCUCUAUGCCUGACACCUUGCUAUAUGCCAUCUGUUCCCUCUUUUGGGUCUGUCACACUUCAGGAGUGGGAGAAUGCGCAAGAAUUCCUGGUGAGAACAGCUAGGGGAGCUGUUGGCCUUUAGCACUGCUGGAAUCCUGUGGCCGUCUCCUAACUCUUUCAAAGAGCUGCAGGCUGGUCAGCUUGAAGUGGCAUAAAAAGAUUUAUUUAGGAUCUAAAUUUUUCCUUGAUCUUGACCUAAGUUAGUUACAUGUUACAAGCAUUUGUUGGCCAUGUUCCAUAAUGUACUUUGGCUUCUGAGCCUCUGAGUUGAAGAGUGAGCUAGUGCUGCUCUUAAAAAACAACAACAAAAACAAAAAACCAGUCAUAGUACACACAUGUUGAUUAACCGGAGCAAGACACAAUCCUAUUAAUUCAGCUUUUUAGGAUAAAGGGUAGACAAAAGAAAGCUCACAUCAAUAGGUGAGUAACAACUACUUUGUAAAAGCCACUCUAGGGUCAGAAUACAUCCAGUUUAGUGGUCCAUAUUGUAGAAUUUCCCUGUGCUGUUAGGGAAGAGGGCUGGCAAUUGAGGCACAGAGAUGGCCUUAAGGACAAGGAAGGUAAAGCUUAGGAGAAGAGAGUCUAUAAAACCUCUGACAUGGCAUGCAGACAUUUUUCUUUUGAGUACAUUUUACUGGGGAGAGGAUCCAUGUCUUUUAUAUUCUCCAAAUGACUCAAUAUUCCAAAAGAAGUUUAAGAACUACUGUGUUAAAGUGAUCAGGCCCUCAGACAACCCAUCCCCUCUUGUAGGGGCUGCUUUGUAUUUAUUCCUCAGGAGGAGCUGGUAGAAGACUUAAUGUGAGGGAGAAGAAAAGGAAAGAAGUAGCGGGGGAUGACUACAACCUCUCUUCAUCUCAGCUUCACAAAGCAUCAUUCAACAAAUGGAUCACUAUUAAGAUCCUCUCCAGAUCACAGGUUGCUAUUUUCAAAUGCAUGCUUAGAUUUCUCUUUUCUCUUGUCGCAUUUCAGAAGUUACUGUACUCACCGAUAUGUGUAUAUGAAUAGUUACUUCCCAUACAGCUCCCCAUGUUUACGGGAAAAAAAAUUCUUAAAACAUGGUAGAGUACUUGCUCUGUUUGGCCUUCAAUAAUGUUGUGGAUCCCCACUGCUGGAAUAUAGGCCACCAGAGAUGGGUUUGGAUUUCAGCAAUAAAUGACCCAGCUUCAUAGAAGGAGAGUAGUCAGCUGAUUUGAAAGUAAACCCAAUCCUUGUGCUCAUAUUUGUUUACUUUUUCCUUAAGCCUUAUAAGUAAGACAUAUCACUGAUGAGAUCAAACAAAAGCCAUAACUUUCUCCUUCCACUGGCACUUUUCUUUCCCACGUAUAUGCCUUUGGGAGCCACCCUCUUCUUUCAUUUGCACUUUCGUCCCAUCACUUAAGACCCAGAGAGGCAUGAAUGCUAAGGUUGAGGUUGAAUUUGUCAUAGUUAUGGCUGGAGUUGAAAAAUACUCAAAUUGAUUACUCUGAUGCCCACGCCUUACCUGAUCUCAUAUCAGCCAUUGGAGAUGUAGUCAAGGCCAGCAACUCUGCGAACUCCAGCCCCAGGAUUUAUGCCUGAUGUCUCAACUGAUCAUGAAAUACUGGUAGGAGGGCUUUCCCCAUCCCAGGUCCCCCUUCUGAUUUGGUCAUCAGAUAUGUCCUUGUUUUAGGACAUACAGAUAUGAACAGAAACAAUAUCAGGAGUCCUGGUUAGUUUUUGUCUCUCGAGGAUGGGCAGGAUAGGUUAUAAGGGAAGUGGAAAUUCUUGUGUGUUUCAAAUACAUUCCUUCUUUGUGGCGGGGAGAUGGAGUCUUGCUCUGUCGCCCAAGCUGGAGUGUAGUGGCGCCAUCUUGUCAUCUUGGCUCACUGCAACCUCUGCCUCCUGAGUUCAAGCAAUUCUACUGCCUCAGUCUCUCAAGUAGCUGGGACUAUAAGCACAUGGCACCACACCCAGCUAAUUUUUGUAUUUUUAGUAGAGAUGGGGUUUCACCAUGUUGGCCAGGCUGGUCUUGAACUCCUGACCUCAAGUGAUCUGCCUGCCUUCGGCCUCCCAAAGUGCUGGGAUUACAGGCGUUAGCCACUGUGCCUGAGUCAAAUACAUUCCUAAUGAAUCCCCAGGAGACCUUUGCUCACAUCUUCUGUCACCUUAUCCUGGCUCUUGCCUCAUUUUUCUUUUCUAGAGUCAUCCUAGGGAAUUUCUUGCCCUCACUGACCUUCCUCCAUUUCUUUCCCCACCUUGAUGAGUUUCAGUAGGUCUUUUUUGCUUUCUCUCGUCCUAAGCCAUUUGUCUCUAACAAGUCCCCAUCUGAAAGUUUUAUUGUGAAUGAGUGAAUGAAACCUUAGAGAGUGUUGCGAGUUACAUUCAUGUUGCCCUUGGAUAUAAAAAGAGAGGCAGAUGCAUUUGCUUUUGGGGUCUUAGUCGUGAAUCCUUUGCCUAGGCCAAUGUCCAGAAAAGUUUUUCCUGGUUAUACUGUAGAAAUGUCAUGGUUUCGGGUCUUAGAUUUAAGUCAUUGUUCUAUUUUGAGUUGAUUUUUGUAUAAGGUAAGAGAGAUGGAUUCAGUUUCAUUCUUCUACAUGUGGGCUAUCUACUUUUCCCAGCACCAUUUAUUAAGUAGGAUGUUGUUUCCCCAGUUUAUAUUUUUGUGUGCUUAGUUAACGAUCAGUUGGUUGUAAAUAGUUGGCUGUAUUUCUGGGUUCUCUAUUCUGUUCCAUUGGUCUAUGUGUCUACUUUUAUACCAGUACCACGGGUACACUAAAAUCUCAGACUUCACCACUAUACAAUUCAUCCAUGUAACCAAAAACCACUUUUACCCCAAAAGUUACUGAAAUAAGUAUUUUUAAAGAUUUUAAAAAAUAGAGAGGAAAGAGGAGGCUAUGAAAUUCCAUAAUGGAGUUACAGAUGCUUGACAUAAUUUAGUGGAUAUUGGAUUUAGAAGCUUACAUGAAUGAGGCAAACCUGAGAUCUGUGAUAUUUGUAAAUGAAGAUAGGAGUGAACUUACUGCCCUUAGGAGUGGAGGGAGGGAAGGAAGGGAGAAAAUGAGAGAUGCCAUAAAAUCUAUUACUUCAAUGGAUUUGAAGUAAUCCUUUGAAGCAGGCAGUGAGACUUACUUCAUAAAUCCAUACCUUUUUAAUGUGGAUUGGAGAGAAGUUGUUGCGCUGUAAUACCUCUGUUGCUACUGUGAGAGUCAUUGCCAGCCACUAUUCUCAUGUCAAGCUGCCCUUGAGGAGGUUUCUCUUGACCCAAUUUAGAAACAACCCAAAACAAGGUUUGUAACUUAGAGGAAUUCUUUGAUUCUGUGACAAGGGGUCUGUGACCCUCUUAAAGGGAUCAAGUACACAGGAGAUAGUACAAGUAGUACUAAAUAGCCAGCUUAAAAAAUUGGAUAGGUGAGAUGAGACAGGAACAGUGGACAGAAUGGCUCUAGGCAUCCCCAAACACCACAUCUGGGAUAAGGAAAUAGUACAAUGGAAAGUCUAUCCUUGGACCUACUAUUUGUCAUUCCCCAUGGCAUGAUGGAAUAUCUAAAAUAAAAAGAGUUGCUUUGGAGAAGGAUUGCAAAAUAUUAUUUCAUAGAAGAGAUUUAGAAGAGGGGAAACUCCCAAUUACAUAAGGUGGGCAUUAUAGCUUCUCAAAACAUUGGUUCCCUAUAUGGGUCAUGAAGAUUGAUCCCAGUAUCAGCCUAUGGCUUACUAGGCCAGUUUAACUGAAAGAUUUAAUGAGCUUGGAAGGAUGCUGCCACCUGCACUCUCACUUUGGCGGGUGUUUAUCACCAGUGAGUGCGGUCCCUAAAGGAGCAAAAGGACAAUAAGCACCCAGUGGACAACAGUGUGGCAUUUUGAGUGAAGAUAGCAACUGAAAAGGUCAUCGGCUUGGCUAGAUUGGGCUGGGCUUGUUUUUUAAAAAUAAAAAAAAAGUUUUCCUUCAUGAUAAAAGUAACAGGUGAUCAUUGUUAAAAAAUAAAGUAUGAAUUAAAAAGUAAAUAAUAUGUAUAAUUUUAUAAGCCAGAAAACUAAUUUGUAAUAUUCAGGUGUAUGUCCUUUCAUUCUUUUUAAAAAUUAUGUAUAUAACACAGUUUUAUAACAAAAUUGACAUCAUAUUGUAUAUAUCAUUUUAUUAUCUAAUUUUUUCAUUUGAAAAUUCACAAGCAUAUUUCCAUGUUAUUGUUCUUUGAAAAAUACAAUAUUAAGUGCUCCAUAAUAUCUUAUGGAUUUAACAAAGUUUAUUUAGAUGAUGUCAUGUUAUUGGACAUUUUGAUUAUUACCAAGUUUGCGUAUAAAAUUUAAAUGUAAUGAACAUCAUUGUACAUUAACCUUUAUGCACAUCUGGAAUUAUUUCUUUAGAAUAAGGUUCCAGAAUUAAAAUUAUUUAGUUUGGAUGAUGAGAGCAUUUAUUAGAGCAUCUGACAGGUGAUGCUGAAUUUUCCUCAAUACAGUUGUGCAAAUUGCAUUCCCACCAGUAGUGUAUAAAUGUGAAUAUCCCUCCAUAUAUUCAUCAAAACAUGGCCUUUCUAAUUUUGUAAAUCUCUGCUAAUUUAAUAGGUAAAAAUAUACCUUUGUUGCUUUAAAAUUUUUAUUUCUAAUUUACACACAGUAAAAUUCACUCUUUUUAGUAUAUGGUUCUAUGGGUUUUGACAAAUGCACAGUCAUGUAUCUUCUACACUAGUACCAUACAGAGAAGUUCUGUCACUUUAAUAAUUUCUCUUGGUGGCUCUUUUUGUAUUCAACCCCUUACCCCAUACUCAAUCUCUGGAAACCAUCAAUUUAUUCUUCAUCCCUAUGGUUUUGCCUUUUCCAGAAGGUCAUAUAAGUGGAAUCAAGCAAUAUGUAGCCCUUUUGGUCUGGCUUCUUUCACUUAGUAAAACGCAGUCAAGAUUCUCCCAUGUUUUGUGGAUAAUUAUUUCAUUCCUUUUUAUCACUGAGUAGUACUUCAUUGUGUGGAUGUACCACAGUUUUAUUAUCCAUUCACUAACUGAUGAACUUGUAAGAUGUUUCUAGUUUUGGUGAAUAUGAACAAAUUUGCUAUAAACUUUCAGGUAUAAGUUUUGUGUGAUAAAUGCUCAUUUUUAUAGGGUAAAUGCUUUGGAGUGGGAAUGAGUGCCAGACUGUUUUCUAAAGUUUCCCUAGCAUUUUGCAUUCCAAUUACAAAUAUGUGAGAGUUCCAGUAGCUUUGUAUCUUUACCAGUAUUUAGUAAUUUUGUAUUAUACAUAUAUAUGUAUGUAAAUAUAUAUAUAUAUUCAUUUAAAUUUUAAUCAUUGUUAGAAUUUGUAAUUCCCCAAUGAUAUAUGGUAUUAUCUUUUAUUUGUUUAUAAUUGACACAUAAUUAUUUAUGGGAUACAUUGUGAUGUUUCAGUACAUGUGUACAUUGUAUAAUGAUCAAAUCAGGAUAUCACCUCAAACCUUAUGAUGAUCUUACAGUUAAAGAUGAUAUAUUCUUGCAAAGUGUCUGUUCAGAUCUUUUGCUCCCCUUUUUAUUGGAUUAUUCCUUUUCUUACUGUUUUUAUAUGUUUUUUAAUAUAUUGAUACAAAUCCUUUGUCAGAUACAUUAUUUGGAAAUAGAUUUUCCUAGUCUGUGACUUGUCUUUUCAUUCUUUGAACACUGACUUUUUUAGAGCAAAAAUUUUAAUUUUGAUACAAUUCACUUUAUCAAUUUUUUUACUUUUGAUGUGCAAUGUAAGAACACUUGUCUAACCCAAUGUCAUGAAGAUUAUAUAUUAUUUUCAUCCAGGAAUUUUAUAGUUUUAAGUUUUACAUUUAUAUCUAUGAUACUUUUUGAAUAAAGGUUUGUAUAAAGUUUAGCUAUGGGUCAAGGUUCAGUUUUUAAAAUAUGGCUAUCUAAUUGUUCUAGUACCAUUUGUUGAAAAGAUUGUUUCUUUUUUAUUGCAUUGCUUUUGCACUUCUGUCAAAAAAUCAAUUGAUUAUAUUUGUUUGGGUCUAAUUCUGGGCUGCCUAUUCUGUUCCAUUGUUAUCCAUUCACAAAUACCACACUUUCCUAAUCAUAGGAAGUCUUAAAAUUAGAUAGUGUGUACAACUUCGUCCGUCUCAAAAAUCGUGUUGAUUACUACUUUGCUUUUCCAGAAAUUUUAGAAUUGUUGCUUUCUAUAAAAAAUUCUGCUAGUAUAUCUGUUGAGUUAGAACUAUAGAUGAAUUUGAAGAAAAUUUACAUCCUCACAAUAUUUUGUCUUUAGGCCACAAACAUGAUAUAGCUGUAUAUUUAUUUUGGUCUUGCUUUUUUUUCCACUUUCAGCAUACAGAUCCUGGACAUAUUUUAUAUUUAUACCAAAUAUUUUAUAUAUUUUCUACUGUUGUCAAUGGUAGUGGUUUUUAAAUUUUCAAACAUUCAUUACUAGUAUAUAGAAAUAAAAUCACUUUUUAAAAAUGUAAUGGCGUUUAUUGUUUUUCAAUUUAAUAAACCACAUUUAGACAACACAAUGAUUAAAAAUGUUGACAAUUGGGACGAUGUAAAUGUAAAGGUAAAGGUAACAAUUUUUACCUUGAUAAUAUAAAGGUAAAAAUGUAGUAGACAGUAUAUGGGGACAGAAGAGGAAGUGUGUAGGAAGGGCAGAGUGGGAAUAUUAAUAGCAUCAUCUUUUAUAGAGAGAACACACUGAUGUGAUUGAACACCAAAUAGGGGUAUAUGCAUCUGAAAGUCACUUUUGGUAUGUUGACCUUGUAUCCUGCAACUUUGCUAAACUCAUUUAUUAUAUGAACUUUUAUGUAUAUUUCUUGGCAUUUUCUACAUACAGUGGUGUCUGUAUAGUUUACUAUUUACAUGUGAAUAUGGAUAGUUUAAUUUCUUCCUUUCCAAUUUGCUUGCCUUUUAUGUCUUCUUGAAAUACUGCGUUGGCUAAGACUUGCAGUAAGAAGUUAAAAGGGAAUGUUUGGAGCACACGUAUUUGCCAAGUCUCUGAUCUUAGUGUGGCUGGGGGGAAGCAUUUAGUAUUUCAUUAAGUAUGAUGUUAGCUAUAGGUUUUUUGUAGAUAUUCUUUAUCAGUUUAAGAAAAUUUCCUACGAUUACUAGAUUGUUCAGAAUUGUUUUAAGAUCAUGAGUUGAUAUUUCAAUUUUGUUAAAUACUUUUUCUGUAUCCAUUAAGAUAAUCAUGUGUUUUUCUUAGUCAGUCAUUGUAGCCCAUUGUAUUGCUUGAUUUUCUUUAUUAAGGUAUAUUCAUUCCCAUAGAAAAUUCAUGGCUUUUUUUGUUGUUGUUUGUUUGUUUUUUGGGGGAGGGGUGGUGGGGGGAAGUAGUACCACUUUAUUCAGUGUUGUAGGAAAUUUCAGGUUACUUCUUAAAAACAAAA